rnacentral:rRNA from 1 species
UGGAAUUGCUAGUAAUGGCAGGUCAGCAUACUGCCGUGAAUACGUUCCCGGGCCUUGUACACACCGCCCGUCACACCAUGAGAGUUGGAAAUACCCGAAGCCUGUGAGCUAACAGUAAUGAGGCAGCAGUCGAAGGUAGAGCCAAUGAUUGGGGUGAAGUCGUAACAAGGUAGC